GUGGAUUAGAUACCCGGGUAGUCCACGCCUUAAACUAUGAUAACUCGAUGUUGGCGAUACACAGCCAGCGUCCAAGCGAAAGCGUUAAGUUAUCCACCUGGGGAGUACGACCGCAAGGUUGAAACUCAAAGGAAUUGACGGGGGCCCGCACAAGCGGAGGAGCAUGUGGUUUAAUUCGAUGGUACGCGAGGAACCUUACCUGGGCUUGAAAGUUAGUGACCGUUCCUGAAAGGGAACUUCCCGCAAGGGCACAAAACUAGGUGCUGCACGGCUGUCGUCAACU
rnacentral:rRNA from 1 species